rnacentral:hammerhead_ribozyme from 1 species
GCACUACUGAGGAGUCCCAUACUAGGACGAAACGGCUGUCCAGUAU